UACAGAGGGUGCGAGCGUUGUUCGGAAUUAUUGGGCGUAAAGGGCGCGUAGGCGGUGCCACAAGUCACUUGUGAAAUCCCCGGGCUUAACUCGGGGCCUGCAGGCGAAACUGUGGUGCUGGAGUAUGGGAGAGGUGCGUGGAAUUUCCGGUGUAGCGGUGAAAUGCGUAGAUAUCGGGAGGAACACCUGCGGCGAAGGCGGGUUGCUGGGCUGACACUGACGCUGAAGUGCGAAAGCUAGGGGAGCGAACGGG
rnacentral:rRNA from 1 species